GAUGAACGCUGGCGGCGUGCCUAAUACAUGCAAGUCGAGCGAACAGACGAGGAGCUUGCUCCUCUGACGUUAGCGGCGGACGGGUGAGUAACACGUGGAUAACCUACCUAUAAGACUGGGAUAACUUCGGGAAACCGGAGCUAAUACCGGAUAAUAUAUUGAACCGCAUGGUUCAAUAGUGAAAGACGGUUUUGCUGUCACUUAUAGAUGGAUCCGCGCCGCAUUAGCUAGUUGGUAAGGUAACGGCUUACCAAGGCGACGAUGCGUAGCCGACCUGAGAGGGUGAUCGGCCACACUGGAACUGAGACACGGUCCAGACUCCUAAGGGAGGCAGCAGAAGGGAAUCUUCCGCAAUGGGCGAAAGCAUGACGGAGCAACGCCGCGUGAGUGAUGAAGGUCUUCGGAUCGUAAAACUCUGUUAUGAGGGAAGAACAAAUGUGUAAGUAAAUAUGCACGUCGUGACGGUACCUAAUCAGAAAGCAACGGCUAACUACGUG
rnacentral:rRNA from 1 species